CUGCCGGUAAAGUGGCGGAGUCGUCAUCACACCCGUACGGGGGGAAGCCGGUGCAAUUCCGGCGCUGACCCGCAACCGUGAGCCGCCCGGCGGGCGGUGAGCCGGACUGCCCCGGGCGGGACGUUGACC
rnacentral:ncRNA from 18 species